GACGAACGCUGGCGGCGUGCUUAACACAUGCAAGUCGAACGGAAAGGCCCUGCUUUCAGGGUACUCUAGUGGCGAACGGGUGAGUAACACGUGGGUGAUCUGCCCUGCACUUCGGGGUAAGCCUGGGAAACUGGGUCUAAUACCGGAUAUGAGCCAUUUUUAGUGUGAUGGUUGGAAAGUUUUUUCGGUGUAGGAUGAGCUCGCGGCCUAUCAGCUUGUUGGUGGGGUAAUGGCCUACCAAGGCGGCGACGGGUAGCCGGCCUGAGAGGGUGGACGGCCACAUUGGGACUGAGAUACGGCCCAGACUCCUACGGGAGGCAGCAGUGGGGAAUAUUGCACAAUGGGCGCAAGCCUGAUGCAGCGACGCCGCGUGGGGGAUGACGGCCUUCGGGUUGUAAACUCCUUUCGCCAGGGACGAAGCGUUUUGUGACGGUACCUAGAUAAGAAGCACCGGCUAACUACGU
rnacentral:rRNA from 1 species